AGACCCGAAACCGGGUGAUCUAUCCAUGAGCAGGUUGAAGGUUGGGUAACACUAACUGGAGGACCGAACCCACUGUCGUUGAAAAGCCAGGGGAUGACUUGUGGAUAGGGGUGAAAGGCUAAUCAAACUCGGUGAUAGCUGGUUCUCCCCGAAAGCUAUUUAGGUAGCGCCUCGGACGAAUACCAUUGGGGGUAGAGCACUGUUUCGGCUAGGGGGUCAUCCCGACUUACCAAACCGAUGCAAACUCCGAAUACCUAUGAGUACUAUCCGGGAGACAGACUGCGGGUGCUAACGUCCGUAGUCAAGAGGAAAACAAUCCAGACCGCCAGCUAAGGCCCCAAAAUCAUAGUUAAGUGGGAAACGAUGUGGGAAGGCAUAGACAGCUAGGAGGUUGGCUUAGAAGCAGCCACCCUUUAAAGAAAGCGUAAUAGCUCACUAGUCGAGUCGGCCUGCGCGGAAGAUGUAACGGGGCUAAAACUAUGUGCCGAAGCUGCGGAUUUGACAUUAGUCAAGUGGUAGGGGAGCGUUCUGUAAGCCGAAGAAGGUGGAUUGAGAAGUCUGCUGGAGGUAUCAGAAGUGCGAAUGCUGACGUGAGUAACGACAAAACGGGUGAAAAACCCGUUCGCUGAAAGACCAAGGGUUCCAGUCCAACGUUAAUCGGGGCUGGGUGAGUCGACCCCUAAGGCGAGGCCGAGAGGCGUAGUCGAUGGGAAAUUGGUUAAUAUUCCAAUACUUCAGUGUAAUGCGAUGAGAGGACGGAGAAGGUUAAGUCAGCCUGGCGUUGGUUGUCCAGGUGAAAGGAAGUAGGCAUGCAUCUUAGGCAAAUCCGGGGUGCUCUAUGCUGAGAUCUGAUAGCAAGCUGUACUUGUACAGUGAAGUGGCUGAUACCCUGCUUCCAGGAAAAGUCUCUAAGCUUCAGUUACACUGGAAUCGUACCCGAAACCGACACAGGUGGUCAGGUCGAGUAGACCAAAGCGCUUGAGAGAACUCUGCUGAAGGAACUAGGCAAAAUGGUACCGUAACUUCGGGAGAAGGUACGCUGUUGAUGGUGAUAGGACUCGCUCCUUGAGCUGUCGACAGCCUCAGAAACCAGGCCGCUGCAACUGUUUAUUAAAAACAUAGCACUCUGCAAACACGAAAGUGGACGUAUAGGGUGUGAUGCCUGCCCGGUGCUGGAAGGUUAAUUGAUGGGGUUAGCGUAAGCGAAGCUCUUGAUCGAAGCCCCAGUAAACGGCGGCCGUAACUAUAACGGUCCUAAGGUAGCGAAAUUCCUUGUCGGGUAAGUUCCGACCUGCACGAAUGGCAUAAUGAUGGCGGCGCUGUCUCCAGCAGAGGCUCAGUGAAAUCGAAUUCGCCGUGAAGAUGCGGUGUACCCGCGGCUAGACGGAAAGACCCCGUGAACCUUUACUGCAGCUUGACAUUGAACUUUGACCUUACUUGUGUAGGAUAGGUGGGAGGCUUUGAAGAUGGGACGCCAGUUCCAUUGGAGCCAUCCUUGAAAUACCACCCUGGUAAUGUUGAGGUUCUAACUCUGCCCCGUAAUCCGGGGCGAGGACCAUGUCUGGUGGGUAGUUUGACUGGGGCGGUCUCCUCCUAAAGAGUAACGGAGGAGUACGAAGGUGCGCUCAGCGUGGUCGGAAAUCACGCGUAGAGUAUAAAGGCAAAAGCGCGCUUAACUGCGAGACCCACAAGUCGAGCAGGUACGAAAGUAGGUCUUAGUGAUCCGGUGGUUCUGUAUGGAAGGGCCAUCGCUCAACGGAUAAAAGGUACUCUGGGGAUAACAGGCUGAUACCGCCCAAGAGUUCAUAUCGACGGCGGUGUUUGGCACCUCGAUGUCGGCUCAUCUCAUCCUGGGGCUGAAGCAGGUCCCAAGGGUAUGGCUGUUCGCCAUUUAAAGAGGUACGCGAGCUGGGUUUAGAACGUCGUGAGACAGUUCGGUCCCUAUCUACCGUGGGCGCUGGAAAUUUGAGAGGAUCUGCUCCUAGUACGAGAGGACCAGAGUGGACGAACCUCUGGUGUACCGGUUGUGACGCCAGUCGCAUCGCCGGGUAGCUAUGUUCGGAAGGGAUAACCGCUGAAAGCAUCUAAGCGGGAAGCCUACCUCAAGAUAAGAUUUCCCCGAGGCUUUAUGCCUCCUAAAGAGCCGUUGAAGACUACGACGUUGAUAGGUUGGAUGUGGAAGCAUAGCGAUAUGUGAAGCUGACCAAUACUAAUUGCUCGUGAGGCUUGACUAU
rnacentral:rRNA from 1 species